CGCAGGGCUGUGCAGGUGGAAACCAGCCUGACCCAGCCCCAGGCAGAGGGUGGACACGCCCAGAAUGCACUGCUGGGAGGCGGGGUUUCCUUGAAGUGGCUGGGCCCCCUUUCCGUAGAAGCAGCAUCCCGCCUUUCCAUAGACGCUGGUUCCUCCUUUCCAUAGACGUAGGGUCCCCCCUUUUCAACAGAGACAGCCAGCGAGGCAGCAGGAAGCCCAAGUGCUAAAGCUCGUCCUGCUGGCAGGGGGCAGGGGACAGCAGCCAGGGAAUGAGGGGUCCUGAGGAGAGACAUGGAGCCUCUGCGAGGCUGGGGGCCACCCCCAUGGAGCCCGGCACCCAAGGCUGAUGCCCUGAGCCUGGAAGAGAGCAGAUUUCUCUGAGACGUCUCGGGGCCUCUGAAAAUCCCCAGAGAAACUCUCCGUCCUCUCCUAGGUCAAAAGAAAGCCUUUAUUCAGGACUCGAAUAUUUUGCAGGGUGGAGGAGAGCCUGUCAAAAAAUAUUAAAAGAUUUAAAACAUUUGUUCAGAUAGGAAACAACGCUCCCUGCAAAACCACGCUCAGGCAUCUAUUCAAAGUGGCAACAGAAAUAGUCAAGGGCAAACAGAGUUAAAACAGUGAUUUUGCAUCAGCUUGCUUUUGAAAUUGAAACUUAUUUACUUAAUAAAUUCAUUUCAAUCUCAGUCACCUUGACCAUAAACAAAACUCCUCAGGGUUUUACUUCCACAAACCUUCUGUCACCUACUUUUCACCUUCAGAAUUUGUCCCAGGUCUUCUUUCCUUUUUUAUUUUCUUUCCUAGUUCUUCAGGACAAAUUUGUCUUUCUUAACAAAACAAACAAAAAUAUCUCUGUUCUUUUUAUCUCCUUUACUGAAAACAUACAUUUUACUUUCCUUGUAUACAGGCUUUUUAGAAAUAUGUCUUUUCUCAUAGAAAAUUCCUCAGCAUACAUAAAACAUGUUUAUCAAUAGGGCCUAAGCAUCUUUCAGUUUCUUUGGGAUAAGAAAUCAAACGCAGACAAAUCUAUGCUUAGGAAUCAACUUUUAAUAUUUUAUCUUAUGUGGAAAUGACGUAGAUACCAAAUAAACUUUCAUUAUUUAAUUGAACUUAACAAAGCUCUGAAAAAUUUAAAUUUCCAAAAAGAUUUUGGAAGGUGUUUUUCAAGUAUGCAG
rnacentral:lncRNA from 1 species